AUCUGAGGGCCACGGAUGCGAACGAAGAAGAUCCAAUAGUCAGGAAGGGAACUGGAGUCCUUUUGAAGGUGGGAUUUCAACACAUGAUGGAUUUUAUGCUAUAAAAAGGCCCUGAUGGCCCAUGAAGCAGAGAGGAGGCAUCGGGAAGUGGCCAGAGCACCAGAGUAGUCGACUGAAGUUGGCAGUGAGUGCCUGAGAGGCAGAGGAGCUGCAGAGACAGCCGGAGCAAUGGCUAGAGCCUCAGGU
rnacentral:lncRNA from 1 species